AGAGUUUGAUCCUGGCUCAGAUUGAACGCUGGCGGCAUGCUUUACACAUGCAAGUCGAGCGGCAGCGCGGGGGCAACCCUGGCGGCGAGCGGCGAACGGGUGAGUAACACAUCGGAACGUGUCCUCUGGUGGGGGAUAACCUGGCGAAAGCCAGGCUAAUACCGCAUGAGCUCGGGAGAGGAAAGCGGGGGAUCGCAAGACCUCGCGCGAGAGGAGCGGCCGAUGUCCGAUUAGCUAGUUGGUAGGGUAAAGGCCUACCAAGGCGACGAUCGGUAGCUGGUCUGAGAGGAUGAUCAGCCACACUGGGACUGAGACACGGCCCAGACUCCUACGGGAGGCAGCAGUGGGGAAUUUUGGACAAUGGGGGCAACCCUGAUCCAGCCAUGGCCGCGUGAGUGAAGAAGGCCUUCGGGUUGUAAAGCUCUUUCGGUGGGAACGAAACGGGCAGUGCUAACACCGCUGCUCAAUGACGGUACUCACAGAAGAAGCACCGGCUAACUACGUGCCAGCAGCCGCGGUAAUACGUAGGGUGCGAGCGUUAAUCGGAAUUACUGGGCGUAAAGCGUGCGCAGGCGGUGUGCCAAGCUCGAUGUGAAAGCCCCGGGCUUAACCUGGGAAUUGCAUUGAGGACUGGCGCGCUCGAGUGCGGCAGAGGGGGGUGGAAUUCCACGUGUAGCAGUGAAAUGCGUAGAGAUGUGGAGGAACACCGAUGGCG
rnacentral:rRNA from 1 species